AAUAUAUUUAAUUCAGGUUGAAAGAUAUAACAACGUUUUAUCGAGCACGUGGUUUGCUAUUUAUAGUUUGUUUACUAAGGGUGGUUUACGCGUAGUAAUACUGGUUAGACCAGUUAUUAGGGCAUGACUGGUAUGCUUUGUGAUUUUAAGUUAUUCGAGCUCAAGACUUAGCGCUGUUUACACGCUUUGCAAUGUCGGACUCUGAUAGCGGUUUGUUGGGCGGGGACACCGACAAGAGUUCUUCAACUCCAGCCGCCGAUAUAACGGACACUUUCAACCUAUUUAAGUGUUACUUGGAUUCUUCGCUAAACUCGUUCAAGAAGGAGCUUUUGGACAGCCAAGAAGGUAGAGAUAUCGAUUUAGAGAAAAAACUUAAAAAAGAUAUAGCGUCUUCAUUAAAGAGUCCGGGCAAUAAAAUACAGUUUGAAUUCAAUGAAGAAAUCAUCGCAGAUUUGCAAAAGUUAAAGAAAAAAGUAAAAUCUAAGAGUGAGUGUGAAGCAUUCGAUAGCAUCAUAACAAAGUUGUCUAAACGAAAUAAACUUAUCCGUAUAGCAGACAAUUCUCCAGCAGGGUGGGCCACAGUUCAUCAAUAUGAGCACAACGACAUCGCCUCUGAUUCGGACGAUGACAAAAAACUACCAGUGAUCGGUAACAUUAGUAGACUUAUGACAAGAAAGUGUUAUGAAAUUAUCGAGUCCCGAUUUGCAUGGGAUAGUUUGAUUAGAUUUGAUAGUUCACAUGAGUUUUUGCAAGAACUUUCGUUCUGGUCGAAGAAUUUGGACAUGUAUAACUGUCGUUUUAUGAAAGAUUAUUCUAAAUCAAUUGCUAUUUUAUGCACAGAUGCUAGUUCAGUAGCUGCAGGAGCUGUAUGUCAAUUAUCAGGUACACACAAGUACUUUCACAGUAAUUUUUCAGAAGUAGAGAGUGCACAAAGUUCCACCUGGCGAGAACUUAAGGCAAUUCAGCUUGCUUUAUUUUCGUACAAAGAAAACCUUAGUGGGAAGUCUGUGAAAAUAUUGACUGACAGUAAAAAUUGUGUUUCAAUUGUCCAAAGUGGUAGCACGAAAAAUGAUUUACAUGUAAUUGCUCUUUCUAUUUUUCAUUUGUGUUUGCAGAGAAAAAUUUCGUUAGAUAUUGCAUGGAUUCCCAGAGAAAUGAAUGAAACGGCAGAUUAUUUAAGUAAAUUAGUGGAUUACGAUGAUUGGUCUGUAUCUGAUGAAUUUUUUGAAUUUAUGAAUAAUAUGUGGGGCCCUUAUACAGUGGACAGAUUUGCAAAUUAUCUUAAUAAGAAAUUACCUAGAUUUAACUCUUUGUUCUGGAAUCCUGGUACUGAUGCAGUUGAUUGUUUUUCUCAAGAUUGGAGUUCAGAUAAUAAUUGGCUAGUGCCACCUAUUCAUUUAGUCAUGAGAAGUUUAAGGCAUCUUAUGUAUUGCAGAUCACGAGGUACUUUGAUCGUUCCUUAUUGGCCAUCGGCGCCGUUUUGGUCUAUGAUUUUUGGACCGGAUAUGACAUAUAGAAGUUAUGUAACAGAUGUUAUUCAGUUUAAUGAUGUAUGAGGUAUUUUGUGCAGAGGCACGUCUAAGAACUGUAUAUUUGGGACUGAAAAAUUUCAUGGUUCUUUAUUGGCUGUUAAACUUUGUUCUGUAUGAGCAGAUUUGAACAUGGUCCUAGUACUGUUGUACUGAGUGACGUGGUUAGAUGCUUGAAUUGUGCAUUUGUAUGUAUCUGUUGUAUAUAUUAGGCAUUAGUGACAUGGUCUUGGAAUUUGUUUUUGACAUGGUCCCUGUUAUGGACAGAGCGACAUGGUCAAAUUUGAAAAAAAAUAAUGUGAGGGACUAACAAAUGUUUCCGUGUUUACAUUUUUCAGAUGUUUUCCAAACAGGAAAAUGGGCCUCAAUUCAGACAUCGGGGGAAAAUUUGGCGGACCUGAAGUUCUUCUGUGAAAAAUCCAAAUCUGAAAGUACUUUUCGUAAAUAUCGGAACACAAAAUCCUUGUCAUUCAUCAUUAGUCGUUUCAGUUUUGGAGGGAGCUCGCCGCUUAAGUGCUAAACCUGUUACCAAGAAAGAACCAAUAACUUCUGAAAUUUUACAGCAAAUAGUGAAUCGUUACGGGACCGGAAGUAGCAGUUUACCAGACAUUCGAAUUUCAUGUAUGUGUCUAUUAAGUUAUGCAGCUUUUUUACGUUUUUCAGAACUGGUCAACUUAAAACGCUCUGACAUUACAUUUUAUGAGGACCAUCUUUCUUUGUAUAUCUCUAAGAGUAAAACAGAUAAAUAUAAGACUGGGAGUAAUGUAAUAGUUUCUAAAACAAAUAAUGUUACUUGUCCGUAUGGUAUGUUACAAUUGUAUUUGAAAAUUGCUGACAUUGCUUCGGAUUCUGAUUGUUUUAUUUUCAGGGCGUUAUCAUUUUGUAAAAAAUCUGGUAAAUAUAAAUUAAGAAAUUCUGGACCAUUGUCUUAUAGUAGAGCAAGGGAAUUAUUACUUAAUGCUUUGGAAAGUGUUGGUGUGGAUAAGUCCAAAUUUGGUCUUCACAGUUUAAGGUCAGGGGGCGCUACUGCGGUUGCUAAUGCUGGUGUGAGUGACAGACUGUUUAAGAAGCACGGCAGGUGGCGCUCUGACAACGCAAAAGACGGUUAUGUUCAUGAAAAUGUAAAAUCAUUGAUGUCUGUGUCUCAGUCAUUGAAUAUUUGAAUGUGUUCAAUAAUAAAUAUAACUUACAGUU